rnacentral:lncRNA from 1 species
UCAGAAAAACAGAAGUGAAAGACACAAAUGUAUUUCUUCUAUUAUUUUAGAUUGAACUUAGACAAGGCCUCAUGCAUGCUUGGCAAAUACUAUGCCACUUAGCUAACCUCCCUCUAUAUUUUAUUUGAGACAAAUAUAUCAUUUAGUUGUCCAUAUUGACCUUCAAUUUAUGAUCCUAUUUCUUUCCUUUCUUAAUAGGUUGGAUAGCUGGGAUGGUGUCACCUGGCUCAACCAAGUUAUCACUCUUAAAACUGAAAUGGGUACACUGUGAUAUCAUCAAAGAUUCCACAUUAAUCCUAUGGCUAUGAGACUCAAGUGUGUGACGACUCCACCUAAUUGAAGCACUCUGGAGAUAAUCAGCAUGCCAGCAUCACACCACUACAUGCUCUGAAAUUAUGCAAAAGCAUUAGAGUCCUCAUCACCCAGAGUUCCUAUCUUUCCCAUUUCUAAAGACAGGUUCAUCAUUUGCUCUGUUGCUAGAACUACAUCUAAUUGCUUUCAAGAUGAAAACUACAAGGCACGUGCCAUUUUACAAAGGUAAAUAUAUACUAAACACAUCUCCAUUUUAAUUAUGCACCUAUAGGAAAUAUAAUCU